GUUUGUGGGAGUUGCAGCUCUCUUAAUAACUGUUGUUAUUGUUGUUGCUCUCAUCAGAUGGAAGAAAACUAAAGGAAAAAAACCCCAGAUGGAUGAAAACACUGGACGGAGCUUAAACCCUGCAGUGAGUCCAGAAAGCAGUCAGGACACGGCUGAUCCUGAAGAUGGUGUUUCCUACGCCUCCAUCAGCUACACCAGGAAGACCAACAGUAAAGGCCGGGUAAGCUGUCUGAUU